rfam:Bacillus sp. OV166 genome assembly, contig: Ga0115450_11
AGAGUCCUGAAAUGUACGUUGCGUUGCCUGAAGUUUUGACCGAACAUUAUUUAUACGGGAGUCUAGAGUUUCCUGAUUGCGUAAAUGCCUCACCCUUAUACGGGUAAGGGGACUUACAAUUUCGGGAACAGGACACCCACCUGCUGAGUGCGGGAUCAAAACUAAGGAAUUAAGAGUGACGGCAUAAUUGGGACUCUU